rnacentral:rRNA from 1 species
GUGUCAGCAGCCGCGGUAAGACGAACCGUCCAAACGUUAUUCGGAAUUACUGGGCUUAAAGGGUGCGUAGGCGGCCUGACAAGUUGGGUGUGAAAUACCUCGGCUCAACCGAGGAAUGGCGCUCAAAACUGUAAGGCUAGAGGAAGAUAGAGGUGAGCGGAACUUAAGGUGGAGCGGUGAAAUGCGUUGAUAUCUUAAGGAACACCCGUGGCGAAAGCGGCUCACUGGAUCUUUUCUGACGCUGAUGCACGAAAGCUAGGGGAGCAAACGGGAUUAGAUACCCCGGUAGUCCUAGCCGUAAACGAUGAGCACUGGGUUGGAGGCCCCUCCAUAGGCUUCCGGCCGAAGCGAAAGUGUUUAGUGCUCCGCCUGGGGAGUAUGGUCGCAAGGCUGAA